AUAUGAAAACAGAUAGUUCACUCGGCCGAGAACAAUAGAAAAAAAUCAAGCUCUCUGAUUAGCAGCGGACACAGUAGUGAAGACCGUUGUACAAUUUCACAUUAUUGUGCAAAUAUUUUACAAUAAUAUUGUACAAUUCCUCUAUCAGUUACAAAAAGUAUCAAUGAUAUGAGAAUUUGAAACAUAAUUAUAUUUUAAUACUUGAACGAUAAUUAAUUAUAAUUAUUCGUGUACUUAUUAUUUUUCAAUAACGCUUGUCUUAAUAAAAAUGUCUUUUUAAAUAUUAUCUGACGUUAUGAAUAUUGUGUUUAAUUUGUAUGAAAGUUGUAGUCUUGUGUAAAGUUUGUUAUUUCAUUUAUUUUUUGUCAACGUUUAAUUAAUUUUAUCUAUAAAAUAUGAAGCUGUAAUUUUUGGAUGUACUUGCUGUUAUUUGUUUAUCAAUCAAGUUUUUUCUCAAUAGGAAAUUGUAAAAGUUCAAUUAAGAUUGUAGUUUUGUCUUCAAUUUCAGUUUCCUUGGAGUAUUAUUUGAUAAGUAUAAUGGAGUUUGUAUGAUCAAAUCACUUGAUGAUGCAGGAGAUUCAUAACCACUUUGAUAAACCGAUGCACUCUCUGAUAGGGAAGUCGAAGGUCCAGAUGUUGAACAAUGUUCUAUGAUUUCCUGCUAUCUUUGAAAAAUUAUGUUGUCUAAAAUUAAAUAAAAAAUUGUUAUGAAUAGUAGUUCUAAAACUGUUAAUAGUAUUAUAUUUUUUAUAAAUUUUUAAUUAUUUUAGAUAUAAUAUAUAAUAAAUUUUACAAUUUUUAUUUUUUAA